rnacentral:rRNA from 1 species
GCUAUCAGAGUUCGAUUAAGCCAUGCGAGUCGAGAGGUGCAAGACCUCGGCAUACUGCUCAGUAACACGUGGAUAACCUACCCUCAGGUGGGGGAUAACCCCGGAAAACUGGGGAUAAUACCCCAUAGAUCAGGGACGCUGGAAUGCCUCCUGGUCCAAAGGUGCGCCGCCUGAGGAUGGGUCUGCGGCCGAUUAGGUUGUUGUUGGGGUAACGGCCCAACAAGCCUGUAAUCGGUACGGGUUGUGGGAGCAAGAGCCCGGAGAUGGAUUCUGAGACACGAAUCCAGGCCCUACGGGGCGCAGCAGGCGCGAAAACUUUACAAUGCGGGAAACCGUGAUAAGGGAACUCUGAGUGCCCGUAAAAUCGGGCUGUCCAUCAGUGUAAAAAACUGGUGAAGAAAGGGCCGGGCAAGACCGGUGCCAGCCGCCGCGGUAAUACCGGCGGCUCGAGUGGUGGCCACUAUUACUGGGCUUAAAGCGUCCGUAGCAGGGUUGUUAAG